rnacentral:lncRNA from 1 species
UCCUGUAAUUUUUGCUUUUGCUGCGACUUGUAUCUCCUUUGUGAGAUCCUCUAAAAUUGCUUCUACCCUUGUUCUCUGUGACAAGAGCAUGAGUCUCAAAAUUUACGCCUUGCUCCUUUCGCCUUGUCUCCUCAUUAUGAAGACUGUCCUUGACCAUCUGCAUAGUCAUUUUUCCUUCUGGAGCUGAAUUGCUUAGAGACACCACCAAAGUCUCC